UACGUAGGGUGCAAGCGUUUAAUCGGAAUUACUGGGCGUAAAGCGUGCGCAGGCGGUUUUGUAAGUCUGUCGUGAAAGCCCCGGGCUCAACCUGGGAAUGGCGAUGGAGACUGCAAGGCUAGAGUGUGUCAGAGGGGGGUAGAAUUCCACGUGUAGCAGUGAAAUGCGUAGAGAUGUGGAGGAACACCGAUGGCGAAGGCAGCCCCCUGGGAUAACACUGA
rnacentral:rRNA from 1 species